rnacentral:lncRNA from 1 species
CGACUGUCUGCGGCAGCAUCCACUUGGCACUGGGCACAACACGAACAGCGAGUCAUGUAUUGACUUAGCGGAGCAGCAUUCAAAUGCCACUUUCACCCACCUACGUCGAGGCUCUCAGGUACUUUAUCCGAUUUUGAGAUAUAUUAAUUAGUAUUGAUUCAAGUUCAUCCCACCGUAGUGUGACCGAUGAAAACAGCGCUGGCGCAGCACAGCUCAUUGAUCAGACGAUGAACAGCAGAUAGCAGACUGCAGCUCCAGCUCGAAAACAUCAUCACAUCCGUUCUUGUGAACUCCUCUCUCGAGUUCGAAGUAUCGGCAUUGUGGAUGGUUCAGCAGGACAGCAGGUUCAGGACAGCCCAAUAGAUGCUGCCCAGGCAAGCGGCAGUGACCCUCCUUCUAGAGCGAAUAGAGAAAGACCACAGUCUGAAUGGUCUUGCCGAGGCCCAUCUCAUCGGCUAGAAUGGUGUCGAUGGCCUGUCGAGGCUCUUCAG